rnacentral:rRNA from 1 species
CUUUCGGGACAGAGAGAGCGGCGUACGGGUGCGGAACACGUGUGCAACCUACCUUUAUCAGGGGGAUAGCCUUUCGAAAGGAAGAUUAAUACCCCAUAAUAUAUUGAUUGGCAUCAGUUAAUAUUGAAAACUCCGGUGGAUAGAGAUGGGCACGCGCAAGAUUAGAUAGUUGGUAGGGUAACGGCCUACCAAGUCAGUGAUCUUUAGGGGGCCUGAGAGGGUGAUCCCCCACACUGGUACUGAGACACGGACCAGACUCCUACGGGAGGCAGCAGUGAGGAAUAUUGGACAAUGGGUGAGAGCCUGAUCCAGCCAUCCCGCGUGAAGGACGACGGCCCUAUGGGUUGUAAACUUCUUUUGUAUAGGGAUAAACCUACUCUCGUGAGAGUAGCUGAAGGUACUAUACGAAUAAGCACCGGCUAACUCCGUGCCAGCAGCCGCGGUAAUACGGAGGGUGCAAGCGUUAUCCGGAUUUAUUGGGUUUAAAGGGUCCGUAGGCGGAUCUGUAAGUCAGUGGUGAAAUCUCAUAGCUUAACUAUGAAACUGCCAUUGAUACUGCAGGUCUUGAGUAAAGUAGAAGUGGCUGGAAUAAGUAGUGUAGCGGUGAAAUGCAUAGAUAUUACUUAGAACACCAAUUGCGAAGGCAGGUCACUAUGUUUUAACUGACGCUGAUGGACGAAAGCGUGGGGAGCGAAC